AGGUAGCACAAUCACUUGUUCUUUAAAUAAGGACUAGUAUGAAUGGCACCACGAAGACUAUACUGUCUCCUCUCUGGAAUCAGUGAAACUGAUCUUCCCGUGAAGAAGCGGGAAUUAUCAUAUAAGACGAGAAGACCCCAUGAAGCUUCAAAUUAAUAUUAACUGCCACCUCUACACCACCUCAACUUAGCAGAUCUAAUUAUUAACUUUAGGUUGGGGUGACCACGGAGUAAAACAAAACCUCCACAAUGAACGGAACUAAUUCCUAAUUCAAGAAUCACAAUUCUAAUAAUUAACAUAUUAACAUAACUUGACCCAAAUUUUUGAUCAAUGAACCAAGUUACUCUGGGGAUAACAGCGCAAUCCAUUUCAAGAGCCCAUAUCGACAAAUGGGUUUACGACCUCGAUGUUGGAUCAGGGUAUCCUAGUGGUGCAGCCGCUACUAAAGGUUCGUUUGUUCAACGAUUAAAACCCUACGUGAUCUG
rnacentral:rRNA from 1 species